rnacentral:rRNA from 1 species
UACGUAGGGUGCAAGCGUUGUCCGGAAUUAUUGGGCGUAAAGAGCUCGUAGGCGGUUUGUUGCGUCGGCUGUGAAAUCCCGAGGCUCAACCUCGGGUCUGCAGUCGAUACGGGCAAACUAGAGUAUUGCAGGGGAGACUGGAAUUCCUGGUGUAGCGGUGAAAUGCGCAGAUAUCAGGAGGAACACCGGUGGCGAAGGCGGGUCUCUGGGCAAUAACUGACGUGAGGAGCGAAAGCGUGGGGAGCGAACAGG